rnacentral:lncRNA from 1 species
AACAAGAAAACUACCAAAAAGGCCAUUCAAAGAGUAUAACUCAACAUGUCAAAGAAAAGACAACAACUGCAGGCAUUAUGAGGGAACUAGGAGAGAUUAAAGAGAAAUCACUGUAGAAACAACUUUUCAGAUAACUGCAUCAUUCUUAGUACUCCCUGCUCCGAAAAUGGUUCAACUUGUCUGAAAAAUGAAGGGGUCAAAUAUGUGCACACAGCCACUUUGCCAAGUGUGGGAAAGAACCAGUGUCUGGAUUAGUUCCAAGCCAUCCAGACAGCUAUUUCAACUGGAACAAGUGACCUUUGGAACAGACUAGAACAUAACAGCCUGGCCAGACAGAGGGGAGGGAGUAGGCAGUUGGGAAGGACCCCAACAUGUUCUUCUGAAAGCUCAUUUGAAAUAAGA